rnacentral:lncRNA from 1 species
ACCACCCCGAUGAUGAUAAUAACAAACGGAAAAAAAAUUGGAGGAGACUCAAAUUCUCCAUAUGGUUCAUAAAGUGGUGGAAGUGUUUUCCAGAAUUUUCAAUACAGAGCUGAAGGAUGCUAAGUGGAAAAAAAUCCUGGCAACUAGGCAAUAUUAUGCCUUUUAAAACCUGCACAUUCUCAUGAAAUAUGGUGCACAUGGAUACAUUCUUCUCUGGAGUGAAUGUGCUCUUGUGCUAUUUAAUGUAAGAGUGAGUUUCUCACGACUGUUAUUUUUAAUGCUUUUGGACCACACUAAGUUUUCCUUUCUUUCCCACAAACUAAUUUUACUGGCAUGCAGGGUUACUGCUUCCAUGUAGACUUCUGUCAAUUUUUGGCUUUAGGGACAAUUUGCAACGCAUUCUUUUCUUUUUUUUUUCCCCCUUUUGUUGCUUAGGAGGCCACAUGGUAGCGUGGAGAGGAAUAUUCUGAAAUGUAAGAGAACUAGUUUAUUUCUUGUCCUGAGAUUUCUAAGUGGUGCUGGGUCUAAAGGCAGACGUGCAAUGCUCUGAAAUGGUGUAAACCUCAUCUCUAGCACACACUUCAUGAAACUAAUUUUCUAGCAUGUAUGAUUUCCCAGUAACACUGCUUAGAAAACAACUGGUAUACCACAGACUUUUCCUUGGUCUUCCAACCUUUCCUUUGAAUGUAUCGCAUAUAGUGGAACUAAACUCAGUGUUUGGAGGUAGAUUUUUUUAAGCGAUAGACCUGAAUUUUAAAUUUGUCUUUUUUCUUUGUAUAUACUUGUGGGGGGAUUGUUGAAAUUAGAGCUUUCUAUUUGGCUAUGCUUAAAAUGGGCAUCAGCAGAGUAGUCUUACAGGCUCAUGAACAUGACAGAGGACAGAAUGUCUACCACAUGACAACACAAGGAAAGGAUAGACACUGUUAGUAAGAGAACAUGGUCCCACCCUGGUUCUGGGGGUUCUGGGUCCUGUCCUGAAGCUUCCUACCGUUUGUUGUGAUGAAGGGUGUGUCUCUUUACUCACUAGACUGAGGCUUGACUGAAGCAGAACAUAAGGCCCCAUUUUCAUUAUUAAGCAUGUGUACUUUCAGACUUUAGCAUAUCUCUACAUUUAAAAAUUGGUCAUACACAUCAACAUUUUCAUAUUGCCUGAAGAAAUAACCUCUGAUAGGAUCUUUUCUGGAAUGAGAUGAAUACAAGGUGCAUGCUCACACAUUGAUAUGUAAUUAUACAAAGUCACAGAAACAAGAAAUAUUGUGAUGUAUGUAUUCUUAGUUUCUUAUAACCAUCUUCAUGUUGGAGAGGACCUAAUAUUAAUCCAGUUUAUUCCAAGAUGUUGAAAAUUGGGAUGAUUGUAUGGAUCUCUUACUCCUGUUAAAUCCACUGGUUCUCUAGCCUUAUUGGUUAAC